rnacentral:rRNA from 1 species
AUUGAACGCUGGCGGCAUGCUUUACACAUGCAAGUCGAACGGUAACAGGCCUUCGGGUGCUGACGAGUGGCGAACGGGUGAGUAAUGCAUCGGAACGUGCCCAGAGGUGGGGGAUAACGCAGCGAAAGCUGUGCUAAUACCGCAUGUGAUCUGAGGAUGAAAGCGGGGGACCAGGCAGCAAUGUUUGGCCUCGCGCCUUUGGAGCGGCCGAUGUCAGAUUAGGUAGUUGGUGGGGUAAAGGCCUACCAAGCCGACGAUCUGUAGCUGGUCUGAGAGGACGAAGGGCCAAAGGGGGACGGAGACAGGGCCCAGACCCCAAGGGGGGGCAGAGGGGGGAAAUGUGGAAAAAGGGGGGAAAGCCGAAUCAAGAAAGGCGGGGGGGGGGAAGAGGGCCUUGGGGUUGAAAACCGGUUUUGGAGGGAGGAAAGGGGCUAAGGUAAAAACCGGGGGCUGAGGAGGGAACAGAAAAAAAAAGAACGGGCAAACUAGGG